rnacentral:rRNA from 1 species
UACGUAGGGUGCGAGCGUUAAUCGGAAUUACUGGGCGUAAAGCGUGCGCAGGCGGUUUUGUAAGUCUGUCGUGAAAUCCCCGGGCUCAACCUGGGAAUUGCGAUGGAGACUGCAAGGCUAGAAUCUGGCAGAGGGGGGGUAGAAUUCCACGUGUAGCAGUGAAAUGCGUAGAGAUGUGGAGGAACACCGAUGGCGAAGGCAGCCCCCUGGGUCAAGAUUGACGCUCAUGCACGAAAGGCGUGGGGAGCAAACAGG